rnacentral:rRNA from 1 species
GGGCCCGCACAAGCGGCGGAGCAUGUUGCUUAAUUCGAUGCAACGCGAAGAACCUUACCUAGGCUUGACAUGCACGGAAAUCCCGCAGAGAUGUGGGGUCCGUAAGGGCCGUGCACAGGUGGUGCAUGGUUGUCGUCAGCUCGUGUCGUGAGAUGUUGGGUUAAGUCCCGCAACGAGCGCAACCCUCGUCCCAUGUUGCCAGCGGGUUAUGCCGGGGACUCAUGGGAGACCGCCGGGGUCAACUCGGAGGAAGGUGGGGAUGACGUCAAAUCAUCAUGCCCCUUAUGUCUAGGGCUGCAAACAUGCUACAAUGGCCGGUACAAUGGGCUGCGAUACCGUGAGGUGGAGCGAAUCCCAAAAAGCCGGUCUCAGUUCGGAUUGGGGUCUGCAACUCGACCCCAUGAAGUCGGAGUCGCUAGUAAUCGCAGAUCAGCAACGCUGCGGUGAAUACGUUCCCGGGCCUU